GGUCGUAUAGUGUAGUGGUUAUCACUCGGGAUUUUGAAGACUACUUGAUUUCCCGAAACCCAGGUUCGAACCCUGGUACGACCU